AUUGAACGCUGGCGGCAGGCCUAACACAUGCAAGUAGAACGAGUGGCGGACGGGUGAGUAAUGUCUGGGAAACUGCCUGAUGGAGGGGGAUAACUACUGGAAACGGUAGCUAAUACCGCAUACCAUCAGAUGUGCCAAGAUGGGAUUAGCUUGUUGGUGGGGUAACGGUUACCCAAGGCGACGAUCCCUAGCUGGUCUGAGAGGAUGACCAGCCACAUGGGAACUGAGACACGGUCCAGACUCCUAAGGGAGGUAGCAGUGGGGAAUAGUGCACAAUGGGCGCAAGCCGGAUGCAGCCAUGCCGCUUGGAUGAAGAAGGCCUUCGGGUUGUAAAGUACUUUCAGCGGGGAUGCGUUACCCGCAGAAGAAGCACCGGCUAACUCCGUGCCAGCAGCCGCGGUAAUAC
rnacentral:rRNA from 1 species